UAAAGUUGUCAAUACAAAAAAUAAACAGUAACUAUUCGUAAAAUUAUUACAUUAAUUGCUUAGCAAGGAAUAUUUUGUAGAGAUAUAGAGAAGGCUACGUACAGUGGCGUGGAUGUGUUUUUGGUUUCAUUUAAAGUUAAUACAAAAGCAACAACAGGGAUUUGAAGAAGUGGUUAACAACAGUUAUACUGAAGUAAGAAUAAAGUUUGGGGGGUACAUAAUAAACGAGAAUUACAUCUGUGCAGUCCAAACAACAACAGGAACAGUAUUUUUUUAAAGUUAAUUCGGGCACCAUUUAAGGAUAACACAAAGAAAAAAUAUCAUCGAAGGAAGGCGAUUUGUUCUUAUCUAAUUGGAGUCUAUUGUGACCAGCAAUUACCAGCAAUUACCAAUGCCAACCACAAAAACAUUGAUACCGUUAAGCAGCCUACAUUUUCUCAACUCUUUUAUGGAUUGUUUUCACACGAAUUGUGUGUCCAAAUCUGUUUUGGACAGAUGUAUGGUAUGCUGGCUUUGUGAGCGCAUAGGUUACGGGGAUCUAUUGUACAGCAAGAAAAAUAAAUUUCAACUGAUAGUUGUCUCACAGCAAGCGUGGCUUUAGGGACUUAUCCAAAAAAUUAAUUGCGCUUUAUGACAAAUUAAACGAACCACAAGGUAUCUACGAAAGGUCUAAUUUUGCGGAAGACAGCCACCCUAAACCGUGUUGAAAUGUCGCUUGUGGAGAAACUUCCCCUGCGCCACUUCCUGUCCCCAAACUCUCGUGUCGUUAAAGACAACAAGUAAGAAAAUUAAAUUCGAGCAACACCGAAUCUUUUAUACUCAACACCGUGUUUAUUAUUAGUCGUGGCUUAUAUAUAAAACUUAUAACUAAAGAAAUAACAAUAAUAAAAAAAUAAUAUCACUGGAAAAUGCCAAUGUUACAUAUUUUAGUGCAUUAAAGUAAUCAAAA